CUACAGGCUUAACACAUGCAAGUCGAGGGGCAUCAGGAAGAAAGCUUGCUUUCUUUGCUGGCGACCGGCGCACGGGUGAGUAACACGUAUCCAACCUGCCCUUUACUCGGGGAUAGCCUUUCGAAAGAAAGAUUAAUACCCGAUAGCAUAAUGAUUCCGCAUGGUUUCAUUAUUAAAGGAUUCCGGUAAAGGAUGGGGAUGCGUUCCAUUAGGUUGUUGGUGAGGUAACGGCCCACCAAGCCUUCGAUGGAUAGGGGUUCUGAGAGGAAGGUCCCCCACAUUGGAACUGAGACACGGUCCAAACUCCUACGGGAGGCAGCAGUGAGGAAUAUUGGUCAAUGGGCGCUAGCCUGAACCAGCCAAGUAGGGUGAAGGAUGAAGGCUCUAUGGGUCGUAAACUUCUUUUAUAUAAGAAUAAAGUGCAGUAUGUAUACUGUUUUGUAUGUAUUAUAUGAAUAAGGAUCGGCUAACUCCGUGCCAGCAGCCGCGGUAAUACGGAGGAUCCGAGCGUUAUCCGGAUUUAUUGGGUUUAAAGGGAGCGUAGGUGGACUGGUAAGUCAGUUGUGAAAGUUUGCGGCUCAACCGUAAAAUUGCAGUUGAUACUGUCAGUCUUGAGUACAGUAGAGGUGGGCGGAAUUCGUGGUGUAGCGGUGAAAUGCUUAGAUAUCACGAAGAACUCCGAUUGCGAAGGCAGCUCACUGGACUGCAACUGACACUGAUGCUCGAAAGUGUGGGUAUCAAACAGGAUUAGAUACCCUGGUAGUCCACACAGUAAACGAUGAAUACUCGCUGUUUGCGAUAUACAGUAAGCGGCCAAGCGAAAGCAUUAAGUAUUCCACCUGGGGAGUACGCCGGCAACGGUGAAACUCAAAGGAAUUGACGGGGGCCCGCACAAGCGGAGGAACAUGUGGUUUAAUUCGAUGAUACGCGAGGAACCUUACCCGGGCUUAAAUUGCAGUGGAAUGAUGUGGAAACAUGUCAGUGAGCAAUCACCGCUGUGAAGGUGCUGCAUGGUUGUCGUCAGCUCGUGCCGUGAGGUGUCGGCUUAAGUGCCAUAACGAGCGCAACCCUUAUCUUUAGUUACUAACAGGUUAUGCUGAGGACUCUGGAGAGACUGCCGUCGUAAGAUGUGAGGAAGGUGGGGAUGACGUCAAAUCAGCACGGCCCUUACGUCCGGGGCUACACACGUGUUACAAUGGGGGGUACAGAAGGCAGCUACCUGGUGACAGGAUGCUAAUCCCAAAAGCCUCUCUCAGUUCGGAUCGAAGUCUGCAACCCGACUUCGUGAAGCUGGAUUCGCUAGUAAUCGCGCAUCAGCCACGGCGCGGUGAAUACGUUCCCGGGCCUUGUACACACCGCCCGUCAAGCCAUGGGAGCCGGGGGUACCUGAAGUACGUAACCGCAAGGAUCGUCCUAGGGUAAAACUGGUGACUGGGGCUAAGUCAUA
rnacentral:rRNA from 1 species